UGGAUAUGGCGAGUGGAUAGUGCCAAACCUAAGGAUUCCCUGGAAGAGGCGAAGGAGCAGCCUACCCUACGUCGCCGUGGGAACGUGUGAAAUUUUGAAUGGGAUUGAUUGGGACUGCAGACGAGAGACCAGCAGCGACGUCACGGCGACGGCAUGGAAGAUCCGCCCACCGGCGGCGGUGUCACGGCGACGUACAGAAGGAAAUUCAGACAAAAUGUACGUCUACUCUCGACGUGUGGAUAAGUUCGUCGCCACUAAAGGCGGCUGCAUGCUUCAGCGUUGGUGUUACGUUGUUGCGCAAAAUUUACUCAAAGCAAUUCAUGCUCCCUUUAGGUUGCGCGUGUUGCCAAGCAAUUUACCGCCAGAACAGUAGGUGGAGUCAUAUGUGGAGUGAAGUUUUUCGUUGAAGACGACCUCGAGAAUGACGUCUUUGUCUGUGGGAGUCGUUGGUUUGUUUAUGUGCCAGAUCGUGUUCUCCCCAUACACAGUGAAUGAUGGCAACAGACAGAGGAACAGGGGUGAUGAAGUUGUUGAUCAUUGGGGUUGUAUAAAUGUGCAUAUCUCUCUACAUUUUAAAACGACAUAAUGUGUUGGCAGCAAAGUUAACUUCACUUCACGUUAAUGAUUUUGUAUAUGAGCCUGCCGGCCGGGUUCCAUUCUAUCAAACCACCCACCCUCCUUCCUCCUACGGCAGCGUUUCUCAAAUUGAACCAUGAAAAGGAGAUUUUCAUGGUAUUGGUCGAAGACUACCUAAGUGAAGCCUAUAUGGUGUAUUUGUGUGUGGGCGUCGUCGUCGGCUGUUUAUAAACCGCCUCCCAGUCAUGUUCUACACAUUCAGUGAACUAUGGCAGAGAAAUGUGAUACUCCAGACAGGAAGUAGUAAGCAGACCAAUCACAGCCUUGCAGGCUGCGCGGCUCGCGUAAAAGCUUACGUAAAAAAUGACGCAAGUCUAGAAAAAUCGCCCGACGCACGCAAGACGUGAGAAGUCGCGCAAGGGGCGCGCAAGGGCCUCUUGCGCUUGCGCUUACACUUACGUAACUGAGCAUAAAUCGGCCUUAAGACGUCUGCUACCCUACGUCGCCGUGGGAACGCCUGAACUUGGAGGGAGAAGCCCAGCACAGUGACCUGACUGCAAUCGUGUGUUUGAGGCACUUUUCAUCCAACUCUACGAGCAGUACUGUGGAUCAAGGCGCGUAUGUGGAGUCAGGCACCAUUGUUUGAGCCAUACCCCCACAUCCGGCAAGUCAUUAUUAUUAAUAUCAUGGUGAUGGAGAAAAGCACCACCCGGCUCCAAGUGAUAAAUACUGCGACAAUCACAAGAUGUUGAGUUUAUAAACACUUUACCCAGCCAAUAAUAACCUAGUAUCUGUGCCAUUUCCUGUGUAGCCAUGUUGUCAUCUGAUAUUAUGCUUUGUUAUACAAAAAAGGUAAUACUUUUAGGCAAUGCACAGGGAGAACUGUCGCAAGCCCAUAGAGGCUCCAUCUUCUGUUCUGAGGCCUGCUCCUGAGCUUCCUCUCCAGUCAACCAAACCAGCUCUUCAACCACUUGCCCACACCUCCACUUCUCCUGCCUGCCUCCCAGAUUCUGGUUCCUGUGGUUCCGGUUCUAAACCUGCAGAAGCGUCUCUGAUGUCCCUUACACCACCCAGCACUACCACAAAAAUGAAAGACAGGAGGCAAGGAGAAGACUGGCAAAAUAGAGAGGAAUUACUCUAGGGGCCAGAGUGUAUAAGUGCAUAAUUAAUUCUGAAUGUUGAGCAUAUUCAUGUGAGAAGUGUCUUUUAGACAAGUACACCCCUACAGAAACUUACAUAAUUGUAUUGUCUAGUCAUUAUUUUUGCCAUUAAUUGUUUAAGUCAUUUUUUCUUGUUUGAUUUCAUUGUUCAGUAUACAUUGUGCUCCACUUAUUUUUACACAGGCAUAGUAUUGAUUUGUGUAGUACCACAGGGUGGAUUUGACCUUUCUGUCCUCUGAAACCUUUACACUUUGUAGUUCAGUACCGACAUGAAUGUUUAUCAAAAAAGUGUCGUUAUUAAUGUGUCGUGUCCGUGUAUAUUUGCAGAAAUGUAAGUAAAGAGAAACUCUUCAAAGCA